rnacentral:rRNA from 1 species
UGGGGAAUUUUGGACAAUGGACGAAAGUCUGAUCCGGCCAUGCCGCGUGCGGGAAGAAGGCCUUCGGGUUGUAAACCGCUUUUGUCAGGGAAGAAAUCCUUUGAGCUAAUACCUCGGGGGGAUGACGGUACCCGAAGAAUAAGCACCGGCUAACUACGUGCCAGCAGCCGCGGUAAUACGUAGGGUGCAAGCGUUAAUCGGAAUUACUGGGCGUAAAGCGUGCGCAGGCGGUUAUGUAAGACAGAGGUGAAAUCCCCGGGCUCAACCUGGGAACUGCCUUUGUGACUGCAUAGCUUGAGUGCGGCAGAGGGGGAUGGAAUUCCGCGUGUAGCAGUGAAAUGCGUAGAUAUGCGGAGGAACACCGAUGGCGAAGGCAAUCCCCUGGGCCUGCACUGACGCUCAUGCACGAAAGCGUGGGGAGCAAACAGGAUUAGAUACCCUGGUAGUCCACGCCCUAAACGAUGUCAACUGGUUGUUGGGAAGGUUCCUUCUCAGUAACGUAGCUAACGCGUGAAGUUGACCGCCUGGGGAGUACGGCCGCAAGGUUG